UGGGGAAUAUUGGACAAUGGGCGAAAGCCUGAUCCAGCCAUGCCGCGUGUGUGAAGAAGGUCUUCGGAUUGUAAAGCUCUUUUUGGCGGGGACGAUAAUGACGGUACCCGCAGAAUAAGCCCCGGCUAACUUCGUGCCAGCAGCCGCGGUAAUACGAAGGGGGCUAGCGUUGUUCGGAAUUACUGGGCGUAAAGCGCACGUAGGCGGAUUUGUAAGUCAGGGGUGAAAUCCCGGGGCUCAACCUCGGAACUGCCUUUGAUACUGCAAGUCUCGAGUCCGGAAGAGGUGAGUGGAAUUCCUAGUGUAGAGGUGAAAUUCGUAGAUAUUAGGAAGAACACCAGUGGCGAAGGCGGCUCACUGGUCCGGUACUGACGCUGAGGUGCGAAAGCGUGGGGAGCAAACAGGAUUAGAUACCCCCGUAGUCCCUGAGCGGGCUGGCAAGGCGCAU
rnacentral:rRNA from 1 species